AGAGUUUGAUCCUGGCUCAGGACGAACGCUGGCGGCGUGCCUAAUACAUGCAAGUAGAACGCUGAAGAGAGGAGCUUGCUCUUCUUGGAUGAGUUGCGAACGGGUGAGUAACGCGUAGGUAACCUGCCUUGUAGCGGGGGAUAACUAUUGGAAACGAUAGCUAAUACCGCAUAACAAUGGAUGACACAUGUCAUUUAUUUGAAAGGGGCAAUGCUCCACUACAAGAUGGACCUGCGUUGUAUUAGCUAGUAGGUGAGGUAACGGCUCACCUAGGCGACGAUACAUAGCCGACCUGAGAGGGUGAUCGGCCACACUGGGACUGAGACACGGCCCAGACUCCUACGGGAGGCAGCAGUAGGGAAUCUUCGGCAAUGGGGGCAACCCUGACCGAGCAACGCCGCGUGAGUGAAGAAGGUUUUCGGAUCGUAAAGCUCUGUUGUAAGUCAAGAACGAGUGUGAGAGUGGAAAGUUCACACUGUGACGGUAGCUUACCAGAAAGGGACGGCUAACUACGUGCCAGCAGCCGCGGUAAUACGUAGGUCCCGAGCGUUGUCCGGAUUUAUUGGGCGUAAAGCGAGCGCAGGCGGUUUGAUAAGUCUGAAGUUAAAGGCUGUGGCUCAACCAUAGUUCGCUUUGGAAACUGUCAAACUUGAGUGCAGAAGGGGAGAGUGGAAUUCCAUGUGUAGCGGUGAAAUGCGUAGAUAUAUGGAGGAACACCGGUGGCGAAAGCGGCUCUCUGGUCUGUAACUGACGCUGAGGCUCGAAAGCGUGGGGAGCGAACAGGAUUAGAUACCCUGGUAGUCCACGCCGUAAACGAUGAGUGCUAGGUGUUGGAUCCUUUCCGGGAUUCAGUGCCGCAGCUAACGCAUUAAGCACUCCGCCUGGGGAGUACGACCGCAAGGUUGAAACUCAAAGGAAUUGACGGGGGCCCGCACAAGCGGUGGAGCAUGUGGUUUAAUUCGAAGCAACGCGAAGAACCUUACCAGGUCUUGACAUCCCGAUGCUAUUUCUAGAGAUAGAAAGUUACUUCGGUACAUCGGUGACAGGUGGUGCAUGGUUGUCGUCAGCUCGUGUCGUGAGAUGUUGGGUUAAGUCCCGCAACGAGCGCAACCCCUAUUGUUAGUUGCCAUCAUUCAGUUGGGCACUCUAGCGAGACUGCCGGUAAUAAACCGGAGGAAGGUGGGGAUGACGUCAAAUCAUCAUGCCCCUUAUGACCUGGGCUACACACGUGCUACAAUGGUUGGUACAACGAGUUGCGAGUCGGUGACGGCAAGCUAAUCUCUUAAAGCCAAUCUCAGUUCGGAUUGUAGGCUGCAACUCGCCUACAUGAAGUCGGAAUCGCUAGUAAUCGCGGAUCAGCACGCCGCGGUGAAUACGUUCCCGGGCCUUGUACACACCGCCCGUCACACCACGAGAGUUUGUAACACCCGAAGUCGGUGAGGUAACCUUUUGGAGCCAGCCGCCUAAGGUGGGAUAGAUGAUUGGGGUGAAGUCGUAACAAGGUAGCCGUAUCGGAAGGUGCGGCUG
rnacentral:rRNA from 1 species